UGAGGAAUAUUGGACAAUGGGCGCAACCCUGAUCCAGCAAUGCCGCGUGAGUGAAGAAGGCCUUCGGGUUGUAAAGCUCUUUUGUCCGGAAAGAGAACUUCUGCCCUAAUACGGCGGGAGGAUGACGGUACCGAAUGAAUAAGCACCGGCUAACUUCCGUGC
rnacentral:rRNA from 1 species